UCAGGUGCAUCCUGCUCACACUAGAAACGGGUUCAGCGCCUCACAAUGUUCACAGGCACAGCUGAUGGCAGCCGGGCAUGCAGCCCCGACUGCGACGAGACAGCGGCCGGAAGCCGCCCGAGCCGGAGCGGGGACGUCCGGUCUGCGGCCCAGUCCGAGGAGAAGGACGACAUGGUGGGACUCAAUGACAAAUUCCUCAGGCUGAUUGAAAAGGUGAAACAGCGGGAGGACGAAAACAAGAAGUUGGACACCAAGCUGAAAAUCCUCAAAGGUCAGGAGGCCCACAGCGGCAAGAUUGAGGACGCGGUGAAGCCGCUGCAAGCGGCGCUGAAGGAACAGACUCACAAGUUAUUCGCUGACCAGGCCAGACUGGAGGACGAGCUGCUUCACAACCAGGACGAGGCACAAAACAACAAGGAGAGGUAUGAGGGCGAGUUUCUGAAGAAAGCCGAAUUGGAGAAUGAGUUCAUUGUUGCCAAAAAGUUUGAAAAUCGUGCUUCACGAAAGGAUGCCGAUGAAGCUCACUUGGAAGCUGUCCAUUUGGCACUGGAGUUGGAAGAUCUGAUGGGCCAGCUGGAGUUCUUCAGGCUGGGCUACGAUGAGGAGAUCAAAGACCUGGAAUCUCAAAUCCAAAACCAGACGGUGAUCAUACGAGACAGCGGCAAGCGCUCGCAGGACAUGAAUGAGAUCGUCCAAAGUGUCCAGAGUCAGUACGCCGAUGCGGCCGCUCGCACUUGCCGGGAAGCGCAGCACUGGAACCAGAAGAAGAUGGACAUCCUGCUUCCAAAAGCAAGACGGCGUGAGCAGCAAGUGAGGGAAGUGCGGAGGGAGAUCAACCACACCCUGCGCCUCCUCCAGAAGCUGAAGGGAGAACUGGACGCUCUCGAGAGGAAGGAAAAAUCUCUGAAGAAGGACAUUGACGACACGAUCACGGAAGGCGACCAAAGCGUGGAACGCGCCCGCAAGGACGUCGGCCAGCUGGACGUGGCCCUGAGGCGCGCCAAGCUCGACUUGGCCGGCCAGAUCCGAGAGCAACAGGCGCUGAUUGACCUCAAGAUGGCCCUGGACCUGGAGAUCGCCACCUAUCGCGAGCUGCUGGAGGGCGAGGAGCAGAGAGGGUCCUGACCUUUUCAUGGCCCUUUGGGCACUCUUGGCGAAAGUCGAGUCGUGCAACUCACCCCAUUUUCCGCUUGUGCUUUUGUGUCUUUGCAGAAUGAACCAACUCAUGCGUAACUCAGAUUUCUAAAACCAAAGAAAGCAACUUCCAUGCAGACCUUCAGCCCGAUGAGCCGCAAGCCCAAAAAGCCGGGGCUCACGUCACGCCUAAUCUCAUCCGUGCUGCAAGUCCUCAAAACGAGACAGGCCUGCUCAUCAAGGUGCAAAUGGAGGCAGGGAGGGUUGUGUCCGAAAGUUCCCCCAACACAAAUGAUUAAACCGAGAGUGCCGAAUGUGAAAUUGAAGAUCUUUGUGAAAAAAGAUGGUUCCAUCCACCCCCCAAACCCCUCAAUUCUAUUAGUCAGCAAAGAAGUACUUGUUUAAAAAAAAAUUAAAGUUUAAGAUAACUGCGAUGCACCUCUCAGUAAUUGUGACUCUAUUUUAUUCUUUAUUGAGUACAAUGGAUAGCAUUUGUUGAGCAGUCGUGAUGGGUUUUGGCAGGCCGUCUUAAAUGUUCCCCUUUUGCUCUUUCGUCUUGGUGAUGUCACGUGUUGUUACCGUGUGGAAAACAUAUUUGUACAUGCACUGAACACGCAGGACGAUCCCUUGAGGACAUCUCGUCUCUCCUCACGCCGGGCAUCAUUUCGGACCUGAUUUGCCAAUAAUUUCAUUAACGUCUGCUCUCCCUCCUCCCUCCUCCUUCUUCUUCUUCUUUCCGCCCCCGUGCUACCCAUUUAAAAUCUCAUUUUCACUGAGGAACACACACAAGACGUGGAGCGUAUUUCACGUUUAUUUCAAAGAGUAAUUUUCCUCAGUGAGGCUUUGCUUAUUGAGGCAAACAUUUUUUUCAUGGAACGCAGAUUUUUUUUGACAAAGCACACAUCUGUGA